AAUUUGACUAGUAUCCAUGAGGACUCAGGUUCGACCCCUGGCCUUGCUCAUUGUGAAUUACCAAAAAAAACCCCAGUGCUUCUCAAAUUUUGAUGUCUAAGAAUUGAUGUCUAUGAAUUACCUGGGAUCUUGUUUAAAAUCCAGAAUCUGGGAGUUCCUGUUGUGGUGCAGUGGUUAACGAUCCAACUAGGAACCAUGACAUUGCAGAAGGAGAAAGAAACCCUGGCUAUAAAUUAUGAGAAGGAAGAAUUCCUCACUAAUGGACUUUACAGAAAAAUGGGUAUGUUCAUAGCAUGAGAAAGCCAAACUAGAACAGCAUCUUGAAGAGGAGCAGGAAUUCCAGGUCAACAAACUAAUGAAGAAAACUUAAAAAUUGGAGAAUGUUAACCAUUUCUAAACAGCUUACAUUACAUUAAAUUUGUUGGGGGGGAUUAAUCUUCUGUCUGCCUGCUUUCAUACUCUGUGCAUAUUAAGAUUCUUUCAUCCCUCUGAUGCCAAGUCACUCAAGUAUGGACUGCACAGAAGAAAUAAGUUUACAUGGUAACCCAGUACGCUGAUGUUUUUGUAACUGUAUGACUGCAACAAGUUUCAUGAAACAAUGCUAAAAACAGACAAAACCACGCACUCUGGGACCAGGAGUGAGAGGAGGUAUCUGAGGGAACUGUUUAGAUGAUAAGAAUGCUCUGUAUCUUCAUUGUGGUAGUAGUUAUGCAGUUAUAUAUCUUUUUCAAAACUCAUCAAAUUAGGGGACUCCACCCCACAUUUUAUAUGGACACUCAGGUAGCCCAAUAGUGAGGUUAGGAAAUAAGGCCUGUCACCAAUAGCCAGCAAGUAACUGAGGACUUCUGCCAAGAGCCAAGUGAGUGAGCUAUCUUAAAAGUAAAUCCAGGAGUUUUCUGUCAUGGCUCAGUGGUUAACGAAUCCGACUAGGAACCAUGAGGU